UUUGGCACGAGUUGUAGAGUGUAGGCGGGAGUCUUUGUGGAGCACGGUGUCCAAGUCCCUUGGAACAGGGCGCCUGAGAGGGUGAGAGCCCCGUGGGGUGCCGUGCGAAGCUGUGAGGCCCUGCUGACGAGUCGAGUUGUUUGGGAAUGCAGCUCCAAGUGGGUGGUAAAUUCCAUCUAAGGCUAAAUACUGGCGAGAGACCGAUAGCGAACAAGUACUGUGAAGGAAAGAUGAAAAGCACUUUGAAAAGAGAGUGAAACAGCACGUGAAAUUGUUGAAAGGGAAGGGUAUUGGGCCCGACAUGGGGAGUGCGCACCGCUGUCUCUUGUAGGCGGCGCUCUGGGCGCUCUCUGGGCCAGCAUCGGUUUUUGCUGCGGGAGAAUGGGUGCCGGAAAGUGGCUCUUCGGAGUGUUAUAGCCGGCGCCAGAUACCGCGUGCGGGGACCGAGGACUGCGGC
rnacentral:rRNA from 1 species